UACAAGAUAUAACACAGGUCUAUCUAACCUUUUUUUGUCUAAUCCAUCUAACUAUUUUUAAAACAAACAUUACUGACUCUACUAAUUUCCACUCUGGACGAAUACAAACCUUACAGUUAUCACCAAUCUAUUCAAAACCUAUGUCACAAUUUUUUUUUUCAAACAAAUUCACACUACAACACCAUGUAAAUCAUUAAGCCAAUUUUCAUAUUUUCAUUAACCCUCCUUGAUAUAAUUUGUUCGAAACCACAAAACCACAACAAAUCUCACGUACACAACAUGCCACUGUGAUCUCCUUCAAACAUAACAAUAAAACCUUUUACAUUCACAACAUUAAAAUUCACUAAAACCUGUAAAUCUUCAAACCCAAUAACAACAAUGUUCUAAUUCUUUAGCAGAUGAAAUAACAGAAGAGAGGAAUAUAUUAUUGUUGUUUUCCAGUUUUGUAUACAGGUUGUCAAAGAGUACAUAUCCAAAAGGAGAAACUAGAACGAGAACCACGAAUCCUACGCUUCAGCCGCUCGCAUCCACAGACACACGCGACGAAAUCACCCUUCUCUGCGUGAACUCCUCUGAUCUCCCAUUCGCGGCCAUCAUCAACACGCAACUCAGAACCAACGAAUCAACGGCGUCGACACCAUCACAAGAGCACCACGCGAUCCCCUUCACUUGCUGCUGUCUACAGAUCCAAACAUACGCUUAUCAGCCGGUCCACUUCCAAUGGCAUUAUUGAUUUCUCUUCUCCCAAUCCCGAUUCAUCUAAUCAUCAAUGCAAUCUAUUUGAUUUUCCAGUGGUAUACUUAUGGAUUCUCCUCCAAGUUUCUCAACCGGGUUUUUGAAUGGCUUCCGGAGGACAUGACUUUGUUAAGUAAAUUACUCUUGCAAAGGAGUCCUGGAAAGUUGUUGUUCGAGUUAUUCAGUUAUGGUUUGUUCCAGAUAUGAAUGCGAAACAAAAGUUUUUUACUGAUGGAAAUGGUUCUCAUGGAUGAGAAGGGUGACAAAAUCCAAGCUUCGGUUAGAAAGCUCUGCUGUCUCAAUUUAAAAAUAAGAUUCGUUAGGGAGCUGCUUAUAAUUUUAAGUCCUUUGGUGUCACCGCUAAUACUGGAGCGUUUUGGACCACAAACACCAAUUCAAAUUGAAUUUGCAGAGUGGAUUGCAGAAAAUUUUCAUAUAGGUUACCGCUUGGAAGUUUGAUCUUUCUGGUUUAAAACGUGAGGUAGUGUUGCUACUUACUACUAAAGGAUGGAAGGUGGAUCAAGCUUCAGAAACUGCGGAAAAGCUUUAAGGAUACUGUGAAAAUUGUUUUAAUUACGCUUUACUUCCUUGAUUGUGUUAAGAGAUAACCUCGAUUAUCUACUGAUUCUUUUUGGUGUAACUUGUGUAAGGAUAGAGAUUUUAGGUAUUUUUCUUGAUUUUUCAUUUUUCGGAAGCUAAAUAGUGAUGGCUUAUGUGAAAAGUGCAUUUUAUGAUGGUUUUUAAAUGAAUGUUAUGGGUUUAAACCUUCACACAAGGAUUUACUGGAUCUCAUGCCUUUGAUUGGUGAAGCUACUAGAAGAGAAGAUAUACUUGCUUGGUCUAAGGUCUGUAUUUUCUUUCUCAAAUAUAUUAUGGUGUUGAACAAGGAAACUGUUUUUUUCUUCUUCUUCUUCCCCAAUUCCCUAUUGAAAUUUAAUCAUUGAAAAUACAGGUUGAUUUUUUUAUUUAAAUUGUGUUUAUGUCGUGUUUGCAAUGAGUUUUAGUUAUAGAAGGUAGCUUUUGUAAUAAUUUAAAUUAAUUGCCACGAAGACGGCGUUUGUGUUCAUGUGUUGGUUGAUACAAAGAAGAUUUUAAUUAGCUGUUUUUGUAGCCCUCCGUGGAUGUUUUUGGCUUAUUCUCUUGGUUUUCAAGCCCACGCUAUGUAUUUAAGUAGAAUUUUGAAUAGGGGAUAUCUGGCGAGACUUAGGAGACUUCAUAAAGAGUGGUGUUUAUCAGUAAUUUGUGAAUGGCUAAUAGUGAUAUGUCAAUAUCAUUGGUUUUCAUUGUUAGUUGAGUGGAAGAGGAGUGCAUCAAACUUAAUAACUUUGCUACCUUUUUAUUCAGUAUUAAACUGUUAAUUGGGUUAUAUGAUCCUUAUUUGUUUUGAGUUAGCCAUAAAUCUAUGAGAUUUCUAGCUUAAAAAUAACAUGUGCAUGAUCUUGAUCAGGGCUUUAUUGUUAACAGUUUGAAUAUUGCAAAUUAGUGUUGAUUGGUUAAACUUUGUUUCUGUUAAUAUUUUCCACGUUCCUUCUCUCUGCGUUUUACUCUUGAAAACUAAAUAUGUAGUCAUAAUAUAUCUAAGUAACCAAUAGUUUGUAUUUUGUGUACUCUUAAGUUUUCUUUUCUUCAAUUUUCCUUCUCUCUGCUUUUUACUCUUGGAAAAUAAGUAUGCGGUCAUAACAUAUUGAAGUAAUGAAUUAUUUGUAUUCUGUUUACUCUUCAAAUUUCCUUUUCUUCAUUAAUUAUGUUUGAUUUACACAUGUCUCAUUUUUGUUAAAAGAGUUUUAAUAUAAUUUUUCGUGAUAUUUUGCCCAAAAAAAUCUUUUACUCUUUAAGUAUAAUUAAAAAAAAUGUUCAAGUAAAGGCUUUUAGGGAUUAAUGAAAAUACGGUGAUUAUGAAAAUAGAUGAUUAUUUGUUUGAUUCUGUUUGUGCAAUGUGUGACGACUGUGGUGAUCUUAUAAUAUAUGAAUUCUUCUUCUUAGCAGCUUAAUGUUAUUGAUGUUUGUAUUUAUGACUAUUAAUAUAAAUUAUUGUUAUGAUGUCCAAUAAUCAGGAUACAUGCGUACUAUUUUAUACUAAUAUAUUCAGUCUGUCUUACAUAAGUAUGCUCAUGCAACCAGUAUUUUCCUAUUAUGAGAUAUCUAUCACUUUUAAGUAAAAAUACACGUCAAAUUUUUUUAUUAAUAAUUAGGAAAUAAUUCCUAACAUUAUUUCUAAAAUUGAACAACUAAAUGAUUCUACGAUAUAAUCUACACUCUACUUUUGUUUGGAAACUUGGCAUUAAAAUAGAUUCUACGUACACACUCUUCUAUUGGUCAGAAACUUGGCAUUAAAAUAGAUUUUACAUAAUUAUUUAGAUUAUUUAGAUUCAGAAGUUGGAGCUGGAAAUUAUGGGUGAGUACACUAUAAAUGUUGUCUAUAGUGAGAUUUUUGACAAUUUAUAAAAAUCCUGUAGUGAUAUUUUCUCUAAAUAUAUUUAUUAUGCAUUAUCACACUAUUUUGUAUUUGUGUUUAUUAGGAUUUAAAUAUUCAUAUUAUACAUUAACUAAUUUUUCUUUAAUUUUUAAAUGGUCUGUGGUUGAAAUUUUAGUACCAUUAUUGUUAAAAUAAUAUGUUGUUGAAAUUAAA